rnacentral:tRNA from 1 species
GGCGUAGCUCAGUUGGUAGAGCAACUGAUUUGUAAUCAGUCGGUCGUGGGUUCGAAUCCUAUCGCC